rnacentral:rRNA from 1 species
AGCUCCAAUAGCGUAUAUUAAAGUUGUUGCAGUUAAAAAGCUCGUAGUUGAAUUUCUGGUGUGAUCGGCCGGAGCAGCUUCACGGUUGUUUUCCUGGACUGGUUUCGCCAUGUUUCUGAGAAAGGUUCUGCACUUCACUGUGUGGAUCUGGCCUCAGGAAGUUUACUUUGAGAAAAUUAGAGUGUUUCAAGCAAGCCCUUGCUUUGAAUACUGCAGCAUGGAAUAAUACCAUAAGACUUCGGUUUUAUUUGUUGGUUUCUACGACUGAAGUAAUGAUUAAUAGGGAUAGUUGGGGGCAUUCGUAUUUAACUGUCAGAGGUGAAAUUCUUGGAUUUGUUAAAGACGAACUACUGCGAAAGCAUUUGCCAGGGAUGUUUUCA